AUUGAACGCUGGCGGCAGGCCUAACACAUGCAAGUCGAACGAGUGGCGGACGGGUGAGUAAUGUCUGGGAAACUGCCUGAUGGAGGGGGAUAACUACUGGAAACGGUAGCUAAUACCGCAUACCAUCGGAUGUGCCCAGAUGGGAUUAGCUAGUAGGUGGGGUAAAGGCUCACCUAGGCGACGAUCCCUAGCUGGUCUGAGAGGAUGACCCGCCACACUUGAACCGGGGCAAGGGCCAGAAGCCUACGGGAGGCAGCCGCGGGGAAGAUUGCACAAUGGGCGGAAGCCUGAUGCAGCCAUGCCGCGUGUAAUAAGAAGGUCCUCGGGUUUGAAAGUAAUUUCAGCGGGGAGGCGUUACCCGCAGAAGAAGCACCGGCUAACUCCGUGCCAGCAGCCGCGGUAAUAC
rnacentral:rRNA from 1 species